UGCAGAAAGUUUUAAGUUAUUGGCGGUGGAGUACAACAUAAUUAUGUUUCCCAUUAUUUUUGGGAGACAUAUUGUUUUUGCUCUCACCGUCUGUCUGUCCCUCCAUCCGGGUUGUCUGUCCGUCCAGCAGAAAUGUAAUAAGGGGCCAUUUCUUUUGUUAUUUUCUUUUGUUUAAUAGAGGGCGAAUGGCCCCUUACUCUAUUGUUACAGAACAAACUCUAUUGUUUUCUUUUACCAAAUAGGGAUAGGGGGCCAUCUUACUGUAAACAGAAUUCACAGGAUGCAUAGUUUUGGUAGACAUAUGUUUUUGUGACAAAAGCCCUUCUUGUUAUGCUUGUUCUCACCUGUGUCACACUUAUUGAAGAAUGGUGAGCUGGAAAAGCUCAGGACUUGUAACCUGGUAGUUGUAGGCUGGAAUAUCACCAGAUUAUAAGAUUCUCUUCCUUUAUCCUCACUGGUGUGAUAACUUGUUAUGAUAUCCAGAUAUCAGUCAUGUGUGUCAGGUGUGCCAUGUGUGUCAGGUGUGCCAUGUGUGUCAGGUGUGCCAUGUGCAAGGCUUGGACCCCUAACUCUAAGAUCAUUGUCAAACUUAAAGGUCAACGGUGAGCUGUUUGAAAUCCUGUCUGGCCCACAACUCAGUGAGUCAUGAUAGUCAUGCAUCAAGGAAAAUUACUUGGCACAAAUUUGUAGAUGGUGUGUAAUGAACAAGACCCUAGCUCCGCUGCCAAGGUCAAACUUUGAGGUCAAAGGUCAGCAGAUAGAUAUGCAUGAUUAUUUUAUGAAACUUGGUGUAUAUGUGUACACUUUACAUGAUGUAUGUUUAUUUUAUGGGAAGGAUUUAUGUGAUACAUGUAGAAUCAGUGACUUGUUAAGCAAGUAGUGACAUCUACUUAUAUUAUAUUUAAGUUAACUUGGAAGAAGAAAAAAGUAAACAUGAAGUUACAAGGAGCAGUCUCACAGAGGCCAGAAAGAGUCUGUCUGAAUCUCAGCAAGCAGCGAAACAAAGCCAGAAUGAGGCUACACAGUUACGCAGUAAGUAUAGUAACAAAGUAAUUUACCUUAAAUGUUUUGUUGGUUAAUAAUUGAGUGAAAAUAAUGGAAUUAGGUGAUA